rnacentral:rRNA from 1 species
ACUCAAAGGAAUAGACGGGGACCCGCACAAGCGGUGGAGCAUGUGGUUUAAUUCGAAGCAACGCGAAGAACCUUACCAAGCCUUGACAUCCCCCCGGCGCCGCGCGAGAGCGGGGUUCCCUUCGGGGCGGGGGAGACAGGUGGUGCAUGGUUGUCGUCAGCUCGUGUCGUGAGAUGUUGGGUUAAGUCCCGCAACGAGCGCAACCCUUGUUCCCAGUAGCCAGCGACAUGGUCGGGCACUCUGGGGAGACUGCCGGGGACAACCCGGAGGAAGGCGGGGACGACGUCAAAUCAUCAUGCCCCUUAUGGCUUGGGCUACACACGUGCUACAAUGGCGCGAACAGAGGGAGGCGAGCCCGCGAGGGGGAGCGAACCCCAAAAAGCGCGUCCCAGUUCGGAUUGCAGUCUGCAACUCGACUGCAUGAAGCCGGAAUCGCUAGUAAUCGCGGAUCAGCACGCCGCGGUGAAUACGUUCCCGGGUCUUGCACACACCGCCCGU